UACGGGGGGAGCAAGCGUUGUUCGGAUUUACUGGGCGUAAAGGGCGCGUAGGCGGCCUUCUAAGUCAGACGUGAAAUCCCUCGGCUUAACCGGGGAACUGCGUCUGAUACUGGAUGGCUUGAGUUUGGGAGAGGGAUGCGGAAUUCCAGGUGUAGCGGUGAAAUGCGUAGAUAUCUGGAGGAACACCGGUGGCGAAGGCGGCAUCCUGGACCAACACUGACGCUGAGUGAGCGAAAGCCAGGGGAGCAAACGGG
rnacentral:rRNA from 1 species